GACGUAGGGGGCCAGCGUUGUUCGGAAUUACUGGGUGUAAAGGGUUCGUAGGCGGUGCGGCAAGUUGGGAGUGAAAUCUCUGGGCUUAACCCAGAGGCUGCUUCCAAAAACUGCUGAGCUUGAGUACUUAAGAGGAUCGCGGAAUUCCCGGUGUAGAGGUGAAAUUCGUAGAUAUCGGGAGGAACACCAGUGGCGAAGGCGGCGAUCUGGGAAGAGUACUGACGCUGAGGUGCGAAAGCGUGGGGAGCAAACAGG
rnacentral:rRNA from 1 species